UGGCUGUCCUGCUGUGUGACUCACAGGGAGAGCCAGGGCAAGUUGCUUCACUACACUUCUCCUUUUUUUUUUUUUUUUUUACAUUUUCAACAGCAGCCAUUGCCUCGCUUUCUCUUCUUCUCCUUUUCAGUUUAGUUUUAUCGCUGUGAGUGGGAGAGGUAGAGGGCAGGUCAGUGUUCCACACCUCCUGUACCGCACUGGGUCCCGCUGCUCUCUGGAGGCACACCCUUACUUGGAUUAUUUUUCUUUCAUUUGCAGUUGUCUCGGUUUCCCCCUGUGUUUUUAAGUCAUUCAGAUCUGUCACUUGUUCCACUGUUAACAUGGAGUCUGACACAUAAGCCCUGUGUCUUUGAGGGGGAAGAUAGAGUCGUUUGUGGUGAAGAUCAGAUCACACCUUCCUAUUGAUAACGUUCCCGGUUAUUCAACAUCAGGACUGUGAGCUGAGGGGGCGGAAUCUUUCCAACUCUGUGAGUAGGGUUGGUAGUGUCAAUCAAAUAUCAUAUAAAAUGGUAUUUGUCACAUGCUUUGUAAACAACAGGUGUAGACUAACAGUGAAAUGCAGAGGUAAAGAUUAAACAAAUCAUUUGGAAAUAGUGACACAAGGAAUAAAUACACAGUGAAUAACGAAUAACAAUAACGAGUAAAAAAUAACAUGGCUAUAUACAGGGAGUACCAGUACUGAGUCGAUGUGCAGAGGUAUGAGGUAAUAACAUGGCUAUAUACAGGGAGUACCAGUACUGAGUCGAUGUGCAGAGGUAUGAGGUAAUAACAUGGCUAUAUACAGGGAGUACCAGUACCGAGUCGAUGUGCAGAGGUAUGAGGUAAUAACAUGGCUAUAUACAGGGAGUACCAGUACCGAGUCGAUGUGCAGGGGACGAAGUAAUUGAGUAGCUAUGUACAUAUACAGCAACAGGGUGCCUUGGGUAAUAGGAGUCACAGCAAGGCUAGUUACUGAUAUACCAUCGUCUUGAAAAAUAGUCAGUCAAUAUUAGGAUUCUUUCUUAGAAAGGACAUCUGGUGAAGUGAGUCAGCAGGAUACUGCAGGAGUAUGUUGCUUGUCUUUACAGAUCAACCGUAACCCACUUCCCAUUAAAACCUCAAUGAUUCAGUAGCGCCUCUUGCUAUCUGUCUUGCUAUGAUAUCUAUCAUGGAAACAUCACAGGUACGUGGGCGGCAAGAGACGGAUUGUUUUUCUGAAAUGUAUAGGUUCAGUAAUUGAUGGCUUACUCAUACAGACGACAUGGCUUUUCUUGUUUAGUGAAGAGAUGGUAGGUGGAAUAUUGACAUUUCCACCAACUGACAUCUCCAAAGAGGACAGUAUAGUUCUGUGGCCUCUGCACAUGCAUAUACAGCAUCAUGUUUCCAGCUGUGUUGGUCCGGUCCCA
ensembl:lncRNA